rnacentral:rRNA from 1 species
UACGUAGGGGGCAAGCGUUGUCCGGAAUCAUUGGGCGUAAAGAGCGUGUAGGCGGUUCGGUAAGUCCGCUGUAAAAGUCCAGGGCUCAACCCUGGAAAGCCGGUGGAAACUGUCGAACUAGAGUCCGGAAGAGGCGAGUGGAAUUCCCAGUGUAGUGGUGAAAUACGUAGAGAUUGGGAAGAACACCAGUGGCGAAGGCGGCUAUCUGGACGGUUUCUGACACUAAGACUCGAAAGCGUGGGGAGCAAACAGG